rnacentral:pre_miRNA from 1 species
GUUCUUCUUAUCUUUGAAAGUGCUAGCAGAUUUUAUAGCGAUUUUGUCGAAGUUGCUCAGAUAAAGGUCAAACAAAUCGUUGUAGAAAUUGCGAGCACUUCAAAGAGAAGAAGAAC